AUCUGGUUCAGGAUGAACGCUAGCUACAGGCUUAACACAUGCAAGUCGAGGGGCAGCAUAAUCGAAGCUUGCUUUGAUUGAUGGCGACCGGCGCACGGGUGAGUAACGCGUAUCCAACCUUCCCCUUAGUAGGGCAUAGCCCGGCGAAAGUCGGAUUAAUACCCUAUGUUAUCCGUCGAGGGCAUCUGAAGUGGAUUAAAGAUUUAUCGCUAAGGGAUGGGGAUGCGUCUGAUUAGGUUGUUGGCGGGGUAACGGCCCACCAAGCCUACGAUCAGUAGGGGUUCUGAGAGGAAGGUCCCCCCACAUUGGUACUGAGACACGGACCAAACUCCUACGGGAGGCAGCAGUGAGGAAUAUUGGUCAAUGGGCGAGAGCCUGAACCAGCCAAGUAGCGUGCAGGAUGACGGCCCUAUGGGUUGUAAACUGCUUUUGCAUGGGAAUAAAGUCGGGGACGUGUCCCCGUUUGUAUGUACCAUGAGAAUAAGGACCGGCUAAUUCCGUGCCAGCAGCGGC
rnacentral:rRNA from 1 species